CAACUAAUGAUCAUGAUGAUUUCAUUGUGAGAUGCAUGUUUAUCUGCAAGUUAUUGGAAUUGAUUACAAUAUACCUGUUACUGAUGGCACAAACAAUCCUAACAAAAUCUCCAAUGUACGGAACCUGGCUCGUUGGCAGGAUUUUCCCAAGUUGACAUCUGCCUGUCUCCAUGAGCCAUAAAGGAUGGCAUCUGUGCCUUGAUACCUAGUUCCUCCAAGUAAUCCAAGGAGUCUCUGAAACCACGGUCCACCACAAAUACAUCAUCCUCGCAAACCCAUCCC